rfam:Schistosoma haematobium scaffold2151_1, whole genome shotgun sequence.
GUCCAUCUGACGAGUCCCAAAUAGAACGAGACGCGCGUCCUGGAU